rnacentral:piRNA from 1 species
UGAAGACGGUUCAACCAGGGAUGUGGUGU